rnacentral:rRNA from 1 species
GACGAACGCUGGCGGCGUGCCUAAUACAUGCAAGUCGAGCGCUGAAACUGGGAGCUUGUACCAAUGGGAUUAGCGGCGGACGGGUGAGUAACGCGUGGAUAAUCUGCCUUUGAGCCGGGGACAACAUCGGGAAACGAAUGCUAAUACCGCAUAAUAACUUUAAACACAAGUUUCAAGUGUGAAAGAUGCAUUUGCAGCACUCAAAGAUGGUCCCCCGUUGUGUUAGUUAGCUGGUAGGGGAAACGCCUACCAAGGGGACGAUACGUAGCCGCCCUGAGAGGUGGAUCGGCCACACGGGAACUGAGACACGCUCCAGCCCCCCACGGGAGGCAGAAGUGGGGAAUUUUGGCCAAUGGGGGAAAGCCUGACGGAGCAAUACCGCGUGGGUGAGGAAGGUCUUCGGUUCGUAAACCCCUUUUGUUGGGAAAGAAAAUAGGUAGAGUGAAAUACGCAUGUAGUGACGGUACCUAAACAGAAAGCAACGGCUAACUACGUG